rnacentral:rRNA from 1 species
AAUUCGCCCUUCGGGGUGCACCAGGCGCGAAAACUUUACAAUGCGGGAAACCGUGAUAAGGGGACACCGAGUGCCAGCAUCAUAUGCUGGCUGUCCAGGUGUGCAAAAUACACCUGUUAGCAAGGGCCGGGCAAGACCGGUGCCAGCCGCCGCGGUAACACCGGCGGCCCGAGUGGUGAUCGUGAUUAUUGGGUCUAAAGGGCCCGUAGCCGGUUUGGUCAGUCCUCCGGGAAAUCUGACAGCUUAACUGUUAGGCUUUCGGAGGAUACUGCCAGACUUGGAACCGGGAGAGGUAAGAGGUACUACAGGGGUAGGAGUGAAAUCUUGUAAUCCCUGUGGGACCACCUGUGGCGAAGGCGUCUUACCAGAACGGGUUCGACGGUGAGGGACGAAAGCUGGGGGCACGAACCGGAUUAGAUACCCGGGUAGUCCCAGCCGUAAACGAUGCUCGCUAGGUGUCAGGCAUGGCGCGACCGUGUCUGGUGCCGCAGGGAAGCCGUGAAGCGAGCCACCUGGGAAGUACGGCCGCAAGGCUGAAACUUAAAGGAAUUGGCGGGGGAGCAC